CCUGGUGGCUCAAUAGGUAAAGAAUCUGCCUGUAAUGCAGGACACCCAGGUUCGAUCCCUGGGUCAGGA
rnacentral:tRNA from 1 species